GGGGGGCUGUGUGCUGUGUUAAUUGAUAUUAGAGCCCCCUCCAGAUUUGAACUGGGACCAUUUCUCCCCAUCCCCUACCUGCACAGGGAUUGUUAAACAAGUCUGGGCCUGUCCUUGUGUCCCAGGCAAUGUAAGCGUUGUCCCCACCUCUCACUCCAGCAGGAAGAACCGGACCCGGCGAACCUGGAAGUGGACCAUGAUUUCUUCCAGGACAAGGUGUGGCCCCAUUUGGCCCUGAGGGUCCCAGCUUUUGAGACUCUGAAGGUUCAGAGCGCCUGGGCCGGCUAUUACGACUACAACACCUUUGACCAGAAUGGCGUGGUGGGCCCCCACCCGCUAGUUGUCAACAUGUACUUUGCUACUGGCUUCAGUGGUCACGGGCUCCAGCAGGCCCCUGGCGUUGGGCGAGCUGUAGCAGAGAUGGUACUGAAGGGCAGGUUCCAGACCAUCGACCUGAGCCCCUUCCUCUUUACCCGCUUUUACUUGGGAGAGAAGAUCCAGGAGAACAACAUCAUCUGAGCAUGCGUGCUCUGCACUGGCUCCACUGGCUUGCAUCCUGGCUGUGUUCACAGCCUUCUUUGCUGCUUCCAUCUUCCCUAGCACUGUGCCAGGCCUUCUCCCCCUCCCCAGUGUCCUCUCCUCUCAGGCAGGCCAUUGCACCCAUAUGGCUGGGC
rnacentral:sRNA from 1 species